AGGGCACCACCAGGAGUGGAGCCUGCGGCUUAAUUUGACUCAACACGGGAAAACUCACCCGGCCCGGACACUGGAAGGAUUGACAGAUUGAGAGCUCUUUCUUGAUUCAGUGGGUGGUGGUGCAUGGCCGUUCUUAGUUGGUGGAGCGAUUUGUCUGGUUAAUUCCGAUAACGAACGAGACUCUAGCCUACUAAAUAGAUCGUCGGCUUACAAACGCCGACGAGACUUCUUAGAGGGACAGGCGGCGAUUCAGCCGCACGAAACAGAGCAAUAACAGGUCUGUGAUGCCCUUAGAUGUCCGGGGCCGCACGCGCGCUACACUGAAGUGAUCAGCGUGCUUUUUCAACCUACUCUGUCAAGAGUGGGGAACCCAAUGAACCUUCUUCGUGAUUGGGAUAGGGGAUUGUAAUUAUUCCCCUUGAACGAGGAAUUCCCAGUAAGCGCGAGUCAUAAGCUCGCGUUGAUUACGUCCCUGCCCUUUGUACACACCGCCCGUCGCUACUACCGAUUGAAUGUUUU
rnacentral:rRNA from 1 species